CACACACUAGAGAGCUUAAAUAACAGAGUCCACAGCUUAAAUUUAUUUUCUUGCAAUUCUAGAGGCUGCAAGUCCAAGAUCGAGGUCCAACAGUGUCAGUUUCUGGUGAGGGCUGUCUUCCUCGUUUCCAGAUGACUGCCUUCUCCCCUUCUUGCUGUGUCCUCACAAGGUUAAGCUGGACCAGAACAAUCCAGAGACCAAUGAGGAUGUGAAUGGCCAGCCAGAGAGCUGAUACCUGUUAAGGCUUUGUCACCCUGUGGCCUCAGCCGUGUUGCUUCUCCUCUCUUGGUGUCAGCUGUUUAUUUGCAAAGCCGGGGCUGGACUCGAUGAACAGCGCUCAGUCAAAGGCCUUUUGUAGUUGAAAUAUUCCAGAGGAUGCUGUCACUUGGAAAUACAUUCUCUCAGGCAUCCUAGGACUAUCAAUCACUGGACCUGCCCACCCACUGUGCCCACUCUGACUUCUAAGGGAUGACACUACUCCACAUUCAGCCUCUGCUGCCCAGGCCUCCGUGUUCUUGCUCCAGGCUGGCUUUACAGGUAUGAGACCUCUGCAGUUGUACAGGCACUUGAUUUUUAUGCUCUACUGUGGCUGUCUUGAAAUUCCUAGUAAUUUGGCCAGGCAUGGUGGCUCACACCUGUAAUCCCAGCACUUUGGGAGGCCAAGGUCGGCGGAUCACCUGAGGUCAGGAGUUUGAGACCAUCCUGGCCAAUGUGGUGAAACCCCGUCUCUACUAAAAACACAAAAAUUAACCAGGCACGAUGGCGCACGCCUGUAUUCCCAGCUACUUGAGAGGCUGAAGCAGGAGAAUCACUUGAACCCAGAAGGCGGAGGUUGCAGUGAGCUGAGAUCAUGCCACUACAUUCCAGCCUGGGCAACAGAGUGAGACCUGGUCUCAAAAGAAAAAAAAAAUUCUUAAUAAUUUUACCCUUCAACCUGCUUUGUAGUGAAGUCUGAUAGUACAAUGGAGCCUGCACGUGAGCAGAGGAUAUAUGCCAGGUGGUAAGGCAUGCAUGCGUGGGCUCAGGUCUGCAGGGACAGUGUACACUGUGCAGAUCAAGCAGUUGGCCUUGCCACCUGAAGUGCAUACACACUACACUUGGGGUGUGUCCAGGGUGUGGUAGGACCCUGAGGGGUGGCCAGGCCCAGGACCUGGGCUCAUAUUGGUGGCAGUGGUGGCAGGAGUCAGGCCCCAGGAGAGAGGAGAUGUGGCUACACUGCAAACAAACCACCCUUGAUGGCGAGUGAGCUCUUUGCCCUGCAGCAAUAUCAUCAAGCCAGGUACCUAGGAGAGACUGAAUGAUGAGCUGCUUCCUUUCCAAGGGUGACCACCAGCAGGAGAAUGUGCUAUUGAGUGACUAACGUUAUUUUCAGUUGUGUCCACUGAAAAAUGGGGUUAGAAGUAUAAAUUUUGAUGACCUAAAAAAUGAAUUUGUAGAAAAAUGAGUCAAAGAAAGCUUAUAAUCAAUCAAGAUAUUACUAAAGUAUUAUUGAAGGAUAUAGAAAAGAAGAAAUAAGCAACUCCAUAGACUCAAAACCUCAAAAACUACUACUAUUUGGGUGUAUUUCUCUCUAGAUUUUGCUGUGCAUAUUUUGACACAAUUUGAAUAACAUAUAUUCCAUCAAGUGAAUAUACCAUAUUUGCUUUCCUUGACAUUUAUGUGGUUUCCAAUUUUUUAUAUUAAGACUUUGCUUUACAUCCUUGUGCAUAAUUGUACUUUUAAAUAAACUGUUUCAUUUCAAAAAAGCAUAAAGUUUUUCAUGAAUUUCAAGUAAUUUUUAAACCCAGAAUCUCUGUUCUUUUUUCUCUAUGGUCUUCUUAGGUGAGCCAUUCACUCAUGUGUUUGGUUAUUUCAGUACUGACUUCUCCUUAACUUUAUAAUAAUCAAAUUUAAUAGCUUAGAUGAAAUGGACAAAUCCUUUGGAAGAUGCAAACUACCCAAGCUUCACUCAGGAAGAAAUAGAUAACAA
rnacentral:lncRNA from 10 species